rnacentral:rRNA from 1 species
UACGUAGGGACCGAGCGUUGUCCGGAUUCAUUGGGCGUAAAGAGCUCGUAGGCGGCUGUUCAAGUCGAACGUGAAAACUCGGAGCUCAACUCCGAGCCUGCGUUCGAGACUGGAUGGCUAGAGUCUGGUAGGGGGGAUCUGGAAUUCCUGGUGUAGCGGUGGAAUGCGCAGAUAUCGGGAGGAACACCGGUGGCGAAGGCGGGAUCCUGGGCCAGUACUGACGCUGAGGAGCGAAAGCGUGGGGGAGCAAACAGG